GAUGAACGCUAGCGGUGUGCCUAAUGCAUGCAAGUCGAACGGGAUCCUUUGGAUUCGUCUGAAGGUGAGAGUGGCGAACGGGUGAGUAACACGUAGGUGACCUGCCCCGGAGAGGGGGACAACCACUGGAAACGGUGGCUAAUACCCCAGAUGUUAUUGCGCUUAGAAAGCAAUUACUAAAGUUCCGGCGCUCCGGGAGGGGCCUGCGGCCCAUCAGCUUGUUGGUAAGGUAAUGGCUUACCAAGGCUAAGACGGGUAGGGGGCGUGAGAGCGUGACCCCCCACACUGGUACUGAGACACGGACCAGAUACCUGCGGGUAGCAGCAGCAAGGAAUAUUGCCCAAUGGACGAAAGUCUGAGGCAGCAACACCGCGUGGAGGAUGAAGGCCUUCGGGUUGUAAACUCCUUUCUGGGGAAGGAGAAGGACGGUACCCCAGGAAUAAGUCUCGGCUAACUACGUGCCAGCAGCCGCGGUAAUGUCGAUAUC
rnacentral:rRNA from 1 species